UGAAUCACAGGGAUGGCCAUGGUGCUGACCGUGUCUGAGAUCCUUGAGGCCUGUCCACAAUGCUCAUGUCCCCACUUCUUUCCUCAGGCAAGGAAACUCUAUAUCAACCUUCGAAAGUUGCUUGUGGGCACACUGUGAUGUGGAAUGAAGCAGGCAAUCCCUGUGAAAGGGUUGUCCAGUGUAACUGAUCAAGACAACACCAAAACAAGACCCUGGAGAGAACAACCCUCUGAGAGAACCGGACAGCACCCUCCAUGGUCUCCAUGACUUUGACCUCGCUUAAACCACUCUGAGGUCUGACAGGCCUGGAGGUUUAGAGAUUUGGGCCUCAGACUGUGGCUUCUAUGAUGGACACCAUCCAAGGAAUCACCCACAUGACUUCACUGAAGGGAGACCGAGCUAUGUAGGGCAGGAUCCCACCAGGAAAAAGCAAACUUCUCCAAACAAUUCUCACAGACCGAACUGAAUACAGGAAGUUGGUUGUACUGGAGCGGGGACUUCUGGGAAGUCAAGAGAGGCGAAGAAACAUCCAGAUGUCUGCCAGAGCAUCGAGCCUCCAUGACCUCAGGCAGUCGGGGACAUGCUUACAUCCCUGGAAACAGUUAUUGAAGGAGAAAGGGAAAUGGAGAGGGGGUAAGGGAGAAGGAGAGGGAGAGAAAGGUAGAGGGAGGUGGAGAGAGAGGGAGAGAAAGAAGCGAGAAAGAGGAAGAAGAAGGAGAAGCAGACAGGGACAGAGAGGGAGGGGGAGAGAGGGGAGAGGGUAUCUUGCCUGCUGUCACUCUCAUUGGCCCUCAAGAGGCAAGAGGCCAAGAAAGGCAGGUGCUGUGGUCUGGAUGUUUUUGGCCUCUCCAAAAUGCAAGUUGAUAUUUAAUUUUAAAUGCAUCAGUAUUGGGAGUUGUGGCCUCCGAGAGUCCACAGAGUCCCAGGACUUUGCCCACAAGGCAGAUUAGGUGUCUUUAUAAAAAGGUUUGAUGGAGGAGGCCCUUCCUUUCCUGCUUCCACUCUUGGCCAUGUGAGGCCACA
rnacentral:lncRNA from 1 species